GAUGAACGCUAGCGGCAGGCCUAACACAUGCAAGUCGAGGGAGAAGCCCUUCGGGGCAGAAACCGGCGCACGGGUGCGUAACGCGUAUGCAACCUACCUUUCACAGGGGGGUAGCCCGAAGAAAUUUGGAUUAAUACCCCAUAAUAUUAUUGGAUGGCAUCAUUUGAUAAUUAAAAUUACGAUGGUGAAAGAUGGGCAUGCGUCCUAUUAGCUAGUUGGAGUGGUAACGGCACCCCAAGGCUACGAUAGGUAGGGGUCCUGAGAGGGGAUCCCCCACACUGGUACUGAGACAGGGACCAGACUCCUACGGGAGGCAGCAGUGAGGAAUAUUGGUCAAUGGUCGGAAGACUGAACCAGCCAUGCCGCGUGCAGGAAGAAUGCCUUAUGGGUUGUAAACUGCUUUUAUAUGGGAAGAAUAAGGAGUACGCGUACUUUGAUGACGGACC
rnacentral:rRNA from 1 species